rnacentral:rRNA from 1 species
UAAACUAGGAUUAGAUACCCUAUUAUAUUUAAACAAACAAAGUAGUAAACAAAACAAACUAAUUUAAUUUGGCGGCAUUUCAUCUAUUUAGAGGAAUUUGUCUAUUAAUCGAUAACCCACGUUACUUUUCACUUUAAUCUCAAAAUUUAUAUACCGCCAUCUUAAGAAUCAAUUUAAAAAUCAUCCUCCAAACAACUCAUAAAAAGUUAGGUCAAGGUGUAAUCCAUAUUAAAGAAAAAGAUGAAUUACAUUAAAUACUAUUUAAAGCUUAUUUAUUUAUAUAUAAAUAUAAAUAAGGAUUUAAAAGGUAAUAUAUAAAUAAUAA